AACGAACGCUGGCGGCAGGCUUAACACAUGCAAGUCGAACGGGCGUAGCAAUACGUCAGUGGCAGACGGGUGAGUAACACGUGGGAACCUUCCUAGGGGUACGGAACAACUCAGGGAAACUUGAGCUAAUACCGUAUACGUCCGUGAGGAGAAAGAUUUAUCGCCCUUAGACGGGCCCGCGUCGGAUUAGGUAGUUGGUGGGGUAACGGCCUACCAAGCCUUCGAUCCGUAGCUGAUCUGAGAGGAUGAUCAGCCACACUGGGACUGAGACACGGCCCAGACUCCUACGGGAGGCAGCAGUGGGGAAUCUUGGACAAUGGGCGCAAGCCUGAUCCAGCCAUGCCGCGUGAGUGAAGAAGGCCUUAGGGUUGUAAAGCUCUUUUACCAGGGACGAUAAUGACGGUACCUGGAGAAUAAGCCCCGGCAAACUUCGUGCCAGCAGCCGCCGUAAAAC
rnacentral:rRNA from 1 species